AAGUAUUCUCAAUAUUCUGGAACAUCCCUCUGAUCAGAAGAGCUGAACGGAAACUUAAUAUAUAGACUUACUUAGAAAAUGAAACAAACCAGGAAAAGACUUCCACAUUUGGAUGAUCUUGCUCACCUACUACACAGAGAAAACCCAAAACUCACCCAGGUUGAAGACACUGCCAGCUAUGUUACCUCCCCCAGAGACUUCAGCAAUUAGCAGGCGACCCUCAGGGAUGGGACCGUCAGACUCCACCCAGGAGAGCUGGUUGUUUGCACAAAACUGUUGCUCCCUUUGAAAAUUCUCCUGGUGAAGAUUUUGGAUUGUUUUUCAGUUUGAAAUUUUUGCCUGCAAAGAUGCUAUGAUUACAACAAAUU